rnacentral:rRNA from 1 species
CAAUAGCGUAUAUUAAAGUUGUUGCAGUUAAAAAGCUCGUAGUUGGAUUUCGGGGCAGCCUGGCUGGUCCGCCGCAAGGCGAGUACUGGUCAGCCGCCCUUCCUCUCGAAAGCCCCGACUGCUCUUCGUUGCAGUGGUCGGGUAGUUCGGGACGUUUACUUUGAAAAAAUUAGAGUGUUCAAGGCAGGCCUACGCCUGAAUACAUUAGCAUGGAAUAAUAGAAGAGGACCUCGGUCCUAUUUUGUUGGUUUCCAGGGCCGAAGUAAUGAUUAAGAGGGACAGUUGGGGGCAUUCGUAUUUAAUUGUCAGAGGUGAAAUUCUCGGAUUUAUGAAAGACGAACAACUGCGAAAGCAUUUGCCAAGGAUGUUUUCAUUAA